UCUUCACUCGAGUCGUGUGUAGCAAAAUGGCCGCCCGACCAAAGUGAGUGUGACGUUUCGUGAGGUGAUUGCAUCGUUGUUUUAAGUGGUUUUUACGAAUAUUCGUUCAUGUGACAUAGUGUUAUUGUGCUUCCUGUGUUUAUCCGCAGGUCCGUUAAGAAAAUCCGAGUAUUUGAUAAGAGGGGCACAUAUUCGGAGGAUGGACAAUCAAUCUGAUGUAUAGGUUCGCAUAGGCCACUGCGGGAGUUGCGAUGCCAACG